rnacentral:rRNA from 1 species
AUGGAGGGCUCGACGUCUGCCUCUGGAGCAGCGAUGAGCGACAUGGAAGCAAUGAUGAAGGAACUUGGGUUGAAGGAGGAUGACUUGGUGGACAUAGUUGUAGAGGACGGUGAUAUACCGGAGGAAGCGGCUCGCUGGAUGGCAAUUGCUCGUGUGCAUAUCGAUAGAUCAUAUAGUCAGUACUGGUUUUUCCGCCAGAUGAGAGUUGCAUGGGAUCUUGCACAGGAAGUUAAAUUUCGUCCUUUGGAGGAUAACCUUUACACCCUGCAGUUCUCUUGCCUCGGGGAUUGGGAAUGA